rnacentral:rRNA from 1 species
GUAUGAAUGGCAUAACGAGGGUUCAACUGUCUCCUCUCUCAAGUCAGUUAAAUUGAUCUCUCCGUGCAGAAGCGGAGAUAACACCAUAAGACGAGAAGACCCUAUGGAGCUUUAGACACCAAGGUAGAUUUAUGUUUAACCUUCUCCAACAAGAGAAGAAAAACUAAAUAGACUCCUACCCUAAUGUCUUUGGUUGGGGCGACCGUGGGGCACACAAAACCCCCACGUGGAGCAGGAGCACAACUACUCCCACAGCUAAGAGCUACCGCUCUAAUAAGCAGAAUUUCUGACCAAAAAUGAUCCGACAACGUCGAUCAACGAACCGAGUUACCCUAGGGAUAACAGCGCAAUCUCCUUUUAGAGUCCAUAUCGACAAGGAGGUUUACGACCUCGAUGUUGGAUCAGGACAUCCUAAUGGUGCAGCCGCUAUUAAGGGUUCGUUUGUUCAACGAUUAAAGUC